UUUUAUCUUUUAUCAAGUCGUCAUCUUUAUUUAUUAGAAAACUAAAUAAUUAAAUAGCAGAUCUUAUCUAUAACUCUUAUCUUUUAUUGAAUAAGUUUUAUCCUUUAUUUGGGUUGGAGUUGAUAUUUAACAUAGAAGGUGAUUUUCGCUUCGGUGCCUUGAAAUCGAGUGACAAUAGCCACUUGCGGGGGUUAUCGGCUGGGAAGGAGGCUGUGCAUUAUUAGGUAUGGCAUUAAUAACGAUUUAUAGUAGCUCCGGCCCUGGAUCUUUGGCAACAGAAAUCGUCGGCGGGGAUUCUCAGCAGCAGUCCUCCGGCCAUGAAUCAGUAGCUUGGUAGAAGCUUUGGUUGUCGAUCUGUGGCAGCAGGCAUCACCCUUGUGUUUGUGCCGACAGAGUUCACUUCCUGGCAGUGGGUCAACAGAGGUAGUAGAUAGUUGAUACCAGUACACUUGAAGGUGGAUCCUGACUACCGGUCCCACGUCGCUUCCGAGGAUGGAUUUCUGGUUUUUAGUUUCGUUUUAAUUGUGAUUUGAACUUGGUAUUGUAAUAAUCCGUCGUGGACUUGGUGUUAUCUUGUAUUUGGAUUUGUUUUGUCGAAGAGUCAAGCCGGGCCGGCCCGCGAUGAGUAGUUUUGCUAUUUUGUAUUUGUUAUUUGUUUUUCGCUAUGUUUUAUUCAGCCGUGGGGCUGCAUAUUA